rnacentral:rRNA from 1 species
GACGAACGCUGGCGGCGUGCUUAACACAUGCAAGUCGAACGAGUGGCGAACGGGUGAGUAAUACGUGAGUAACCUGCCCUCUUUUUGGGAUAAGCCUUGGAAACGGGGUCUAAUACCGGAUAAAGGGGGAUGGGCUCGCGGCCUAUCAGCUUGUUGGUGGGGUGAUGGCCUACCAAGGCGGUGACGGGUAGACGGCCUGAGAGGGUGACCGGCCACAAUGGGACGGAGGUACGGCCCAGACUCCUACGGGAGGCAGCAGUGGGGGAUAUUGCGCAAUGGGCGAAAGCCUGAUGCCGCGACGCCGCGGGGGGGAUGAAGGCUUUCGGGUUGUAAACCUCUUUCGCUAUCGAGAGGGUAGGUGGAGAAGAAGCGCCGGCUAACUACAUGCCAGCCGCCGCGGUAAUAC